rnacentral:rRNA from 1 species
AACACCCUACGGGACGCAGCAGUGGGGGAUAUUGCACAAUGGGGGGAACCCUGAUGCAGCGACGCCGCGUGGGUGAAGAAGCGCCUCGGCGCGUAAAGCCCUGUCAGCAGGGAAGAAAAUGACGGUACCUGAAGAAGAAGCCCCGGCUAACUACGUGCCAGCAGCCGCGGUAAUACGUAGGGGGCAAGCGUUAUCCGGAUUUACUGGGUGUAAAGGGGGCGCAGACGGCGAUGCAAGCCAGGAGUGAAAGCCCGGGGCACAACCCCGGGACUGCUCUUGGAACUGCGAGGCUGGGUGGCAGGGGG